rnacentral:rRNA from 1 species
CGAACGGUAACAUUUCUAGCUUGCUAGAAGAUGACGAGUGGCGGACGGGUAAGUAAUGCUUGGGAACUUGCCUUUGCGAGGGGGAUAACAGUUGGAAACGACUGCUAAUACCGCAUAAUGUUCUACGGACUCGGUCCGAAGGACCAAACGGGGCUUCGGCUCCGGCGCAAAGAGAGGCCCAAGUGAGAUUAGCUAGUUGGUAAGGUAACGGCUUACCAAGGCGACGAUCUCUAGCUGUUCUGAGAGGAAGAUCAGCCACACUGGGACUGAGACACGGCCCAGACUCCUACGGGAGGCAGCAGUGGGGAAUAUUGCACAAUGGGGGAAACCCUGAUGCAGCCAUGCCGCGUGUGUGAAGAAGGCCUUCGGGUUGUAAAGCACUUUCAGUUGUGAGGAAAAGUUAGUAGUUAAUACCUGCUAGCCGUGACGUUAACAACAGAAGAAGCACCGGCUAACUCCGUGCCAGCAGCCGCGGUAAUACGGAGGGUGCGAGCGUUAAUCGGAAUUACUGGGCGUAAAGCGCACGCAGGCGGUUUGUUAAGCUAGAUGUGAAAGCCCCGGGCUCAACCUGGGAUGGUCAUUUAGAACUGGCAGACUAGAGUCUUGGAGAGGGGAGUGGAAUUCCAGGUGUAGCGGUGAAAUGCGUAGAUAUCUGGAGGAACAUCAGUGGCGAAGGCGACUCCCUGGCCAAAGACUGACGCUCAUGUGCGAAAGUGUGGGUAGCGAACAGGAUUAGAUACCCUGGUAGUCCACACCGUAAACGCUGUCUACUAGCUGUGU